rnacentral:rRNA from 1 species
AUGGGGAACAAGGGGAGCAGCAGAGUCUGCGACGCUGGGGAGAAGGAGGGCGGCGAGGCGGCAACGGUGAGGAAGUUCGUGCUCACGGUGCCGACGCACUGCCGCUGCCUGGGGUGCACGGGCAAGCUGCGCGCCGCCGUGACGGAGCUCGCCGUGGCACCGGGCGUGCUGGAGGUGGACCAGUCCGGGGCGCUGGCCACCUGGGAGGUGGCGGUGCUUGCCACGGCUGACCCUGAGCGCCUCCGCAGGCGCGUCAGCAAGGUCAUGGGCAAGACGGUCGGCCUCGUCUCCGGCUCCGGUGGUGGGAGGAGCGUGAGGGAGGACCAGCCGCCGCCGCCGUCACCGGGCCAUCGUCAGUACGGGGGCUACGUGGAUGCUUACCCUCCUUCGGUGCCGCCCUACUACCCGGGCCCGCCGGCCCAUGCUUGGGUACCGUACGUGCACCCGUGUUUUGCUGCUCCGGCGCCGGCUCCACUUGGCCCCUACUGGCCCAGCGCGCCGAGGUGGGCCGGCGGCCCCGGGUACUGA